rnacentral:rRNA from 1 species
GAUUAACGCUGGCGGCAUGCCUAAUACAUGCAAGUCGAACGGAAGCAGCAAUGCUUUAGUGGCGAACGGGUGAGUAACACGUAGGGAACCUACCUAUACGACGAGGAUAACUACUGGAAACGGUAGCUAAAACUGGAUAGGAUCAAUUGAGGCAUCUUGAUUGAUUUAAAGAUCCUUCGGGAUUACGUAGAGAUGGCCCUGCGGCGCAUUAGCUAGUUGGUGAGGUAACGGCUCACCAAGGCAACGAUCAGUAGCCGACCUGAGAGGGUGAUCGGCCACACUGGAACUGAGACACGGUCCAGACUCCUACGGGAGGCAGCAGUGGGGAAUAUUGCACAAUGGGCGAAAGCCUGAUGCAGCAACGCCGCGUGAGCGAUGAAGG